rnacentral:rRNA from 1 species
AGUGGGGAAUUUUGGACAAUGGGCGCAAGCCUGAUCCAGCCAUUCCGCGUGAGUGAAGAAGGCCUUCGGGUUGUAAAGCUCUUUCGCAAGGAAAGAAAACUUAUCUCCUAAUACGGGGUGAGGUUGACGGUACCUUGAUAAGAAGCACCGGCUAACUACGUGCCAGCAGCCGCGGUAAUACGUAGGGUGCGAGCGUUAAUCGGAAUUACUGGGCGUAAAGCGUGCGCAGGCGGUUUUGUAAGUCAGAUGUGAAAUCCCCGGGUUCAACCUGGGAACUGCGUUUGAAACUACAAGGCUAGAGUGUAGAAGAGGGGGGUAGAAUUCCACGUGUAGCAGUGAAAUGCGUAGAGAUGUGGAGGAAUACCGAUGGCGAAGGCAGCCCCCUGGGCUAACACUGACGCUCAUGCGCGAAAGCGUGGGGAGCAAACAGGAUUAGAUACCCUGGUAGUCCACGCCCUAAACGAUGUCUACUAGUUGUUGGGAGAGUAAAAUCUCUUAGUAACGCAGCUAACGCGUGAAGUAGACCGCCUGGGGAGUACGGUCGCAAGAU